AUAAAUCUGACCCUUUCAAUAUAAACUGUUGAAAAUUGACUAACUAAUCUUCUGUAAUGCUAUUAUGAGGAUUGCCCUUUGAGGUUUAUAGCAAUAGGUCGCCCUAUGGUUGGUCACAUGCUUUUAUG
rnacentral:sRNA from 1 species